rnacentral:rRNA from 3 species
UCGGGAACUGUGAGACAGGUGCUGCAUGGCUGUCGUCAGCUCGUGUUGUGAAAUGUUGGGUUAAGUCCCGCAACGAGCGCAACCCUUAUCCUUUGUUGCCAGCGAUUAGGUCGGGAACUCAAAGGAGACUGCCAGUGAUAAACUGGAGGAAGGUGGGGAUGACGUCAAGUCAUCAUGGCCCUUACGACCAGGGCUACACACGUGCUACAAUGGCGCAUACAAAGAGAAGCGACCUCGCGAGAGCAAGCGGACCUCAUAAAGUGCGUCGUAGUCCGGAUUGGAGUCUGCAACUCGACUCCAUGAAGUCGGAAUCGCUAGUAAUCGUGGAUCAGAAUGCCACGGUGAAUACGUUCCCGGGCCUUGUACACACCGCCCGUCACACCAUGGGAGUGGGUUGCAAAAGAAGUAGGUAGCUUAACCUUCGGGAGGGCGCUUACCACUUUGUGAUUCAUGACUGGGGUGAAGUCGUAACAAGGUAACCGUAGGGGAACCUGCGGUUGGAUCACCUCCUUACCUUAAAGAAGC